rnacentral:lncRNA from 1 species
UCUGAUCAAGAUUAAUGAUUUUAUGAUAUUUUGAAUCUCGAAAUUGAUUUUGAUGGCUUGAUUAUGAGUUUCAAGUUGACGAAUUGAAUUUGAAUGGAUUUGUAUUCGAAUUAUGAUCUUGACUUAUUGGAGUUUCUACUUGAAACUUUUUUUCUUAUCCCAAUCUCUUCUUUGUACAUCUACAAUUUUUGUUAUUUAUAGAAAGAAGAGAUUUGAUAAUAUGGAUGAAUGCUGAAUUUUCCUUUAAGAUGAACUCUGCGUAAAUAUUUUAGCAUACUUAAUUUUGAAUGAUAAAA